UGGGGAAUAUUGCACAAUGGGCGCAAGCCUGAUGCAGCCAUGCCGCGUGUGUGAAGAAGGUCUUCGGAUUGUAAAGCACUUUAAGUUGGGAGGAAGGGCAUUAACCUAAUACGUUAGUGUUUUGACGUUACCGACAGAAUAAGCACCGGCUAACUCUGUGCCAGCAGCCGCGGUAAUACAGAGGGUGCAAGCGUUAAUCGGAAUUACUGGGCGUAAAGCGCGCGUUGGUGGUUUGUUAAUUUGGAUGUGAAAUCCCCGGGCUCAACCUGGGAACUGCAUUCAAAACUGACUGACUAGAGUAUGGUAGAGGGUGGUGGAAUUUCCUGUGUAGCGGUGAAAUGCGUAGAUAUAGGAAGGAACUCCAGUGGCGAAGGCGACCACCUGGACUAAUACUGACACUGAGGUGCGAAAGCGUGGGGAGCAAACA
rnacentral:rRNA from 1 species